rnacentral:rRNA from 1 species
UACGUAGGGUGCGAGCGUUUAAUCGGAAUUACUGGGCGUAAAGCGUGCGCAGGCGGUUCGUUGUGUCCGUCGUGAAAGCCCCCGGGCUUAACCUGGGAACUGCGCUUGUGACUGGCGAGCUGGAGUGUGGCAGAGGGAGGUGGAAUUCCACGUGUAGCAGUGAAAUGCGUAGAGAUCAGGAGGAACACCCAUGGCGAAGGCAGCUCUCUGGUCGACCUCUGACGCUGAGACGCGAAAGCGUGGGGAGCGAACGGG